rnacentral:lncRNA from 1 species
AGCCCACCCGUUUUUUGGCCAUUUUUCCGCUGGGGGGUCUUGGGACCCCGACCUUCGGGGGCUGAUUUUUGGGCGCGGCUGUGCCCGUGGCCUAUUUUUCGCACACAGAGGCCGCCCGCCAAGUAUGGUGCCAUUCCGAGUCCCGCGGACGAACUUCGCCCACACCCCCCACCAAGGCUAUAGCCCACCCGUUUUUUGGCCAUUUUUCCGCUGGGGGGUCUUGGGACCCCGACCUUCGGGGGAUGAUUUUUGGGCGCGGCUGUGCCCGUGGCCUAUUUUUGGCACACGGAGGCCGCCCGCCAAGUCAGGGGCCAUUCCGAGUCCCGCGGACGAACUUCGCCCACGCCGCCCACCAAGGCUAUAGCCCACCCGUUUUUUGGCCAUUUUUCCGCUGGGGGAUCUUGGGACCCCGACCUUCGGGGGCUGAUUUUUGGGCGCGGCUGUGCCCGUGGCCUAUUUUUGGCACACAGAGGCCGCCCGCCAAGUAUGGUGCCAUUCCGAGUCCCGCGGAUGAACUUCGCCCACGCCGCCCACCAAGGCUAUAGCCCACCCGUUUUUUGGCCAUUUUUCCGCUGGGGGGUCUUGGGACCCCGACCUUCGGGUGCUGAUUUUAGGGCGCGGCUGUGCCCGUGGCCUAUUUUUGGCACACAGAGGCCGCCCGCCAAGUAUGGUGCCAUUCCGAGUCCCGCGGACGAACUUCGCCCACGCCGCCCACCAAGGCUAUAGCCCACCCGUUUUUUGGCCAUUUUUCCGCUGGGGGGUCUUGGGACCCCGACCUUCGGGUGCUGAUUUUUGGGCGCGGCUGUGCCCGUGGCCUAUUUUUUGGCACACAGAGGGCCGCCCGCCAAGUCAGGGUGCCAUUCCGAGUCCCGCGGACGAAGUUCGCCCACGCCCCCCACCAAGGCUAUAGCCCACCCGUUUUUUGGCCAUUUUUCCGCUGGGGGGUCUUGGGACCCCGACCUUCGGGGGCUGAUUUUUGGGCGCGGCUGUGCCCGUGGCCUAUUUUUGGCACACGGAGGCCGCCCGCCAAGUCAGGGGCCAUUCCGAGUCCCGCGGACGAAGUUCGCCCACGCCCCCCACCAAGGCUAUAGCCCACCCGUUUUUUGGCCAUUUUUCCGCUGGGGGGUCUUGGGACCCCAACCUUCGGGGGCUGAUUUUUGAGCGCGGCUGUGCCCGUGGCCUAUUUUUGGCACACGGAGGCCGCCCGCCAAGACAGGGGCCAUUCCGAGUCCCGCGGACGAACUUCGCCCACGCCGCCCACCAAGGCUAUAGCCCACCCGUUUUUUGGCCAUUUUUCCGCUUGGGGGUCUUGGGACCCCGACCUUCGGGGGCUGAUUUUUGAGCGCGGCUGUGCCCGUGGCCUAUUUUUGGUACACGGAGGCCGCCCGCCAAGUCUGGUGCCAUUCCGAGUCCCGCGGACGAACUUCGCCCACGCCGCCCACCAAGGCUAUAGCCCACCCGUUUUUUGACCAUUUUUCCGCUGGGGGGUCUUGGGACCCCGACCUUCGGGGGCUGAUUUUUGGGCGCGGCUGUGCCCGUGGCCUAUUUUUGGCACACAGAGGCCGCCCGCCAAGUAUGGUGCCAUUCCGAGUCCCGCGGACGAACUUCGCCCACGCCCCCCACCAAGGCUAUAGCCCACCCGUUUUUUGGCCAUUUUUCCGCUGGGGGGUCUUGGGACCCCGACCUUCGGGGGCUGAUUUUUGGGCGCGGCUGUGCCCGUGGCCUAUUUUUGGCACACAGAGGCCGCCCGCCAAGUAUGGUGCCAUUCCGAGUCCCGCGGACGAACUUCGCCCACGCCGCCCACCAAGGCUAUAGCCCACCCGUUUUUUGGCCAUUUUUCCGCUGGGGGGUCUUGGGACCCCGACCUUCGGGGGCUGAUUUUUGGGCGCGGCUGUGCCCGUGGCCUAUUUUUGGCACACGGAGGCCGCCCGCCAAGUCAGGGGCCAUUCCGAGUCCCGCGGACGAAGUUCGCCCACGCCCCACACCAAGGCCAUAGCCCACCCGUUUUUUGGCCAUUUUUCCGCUGGGGGGUCUUGGGACCCCGACCUUCGGGGGCUGAUUUUUGGGCGCGGCUGUACCCGUGGCCCAGUUUUGGCACACGGAGGCCGCCCGCCAAGUCAGGGGCCAUUCCGAGUCCCGCGGAUGAAGUUCGCCCACGCCCCCCACCAAGGCUAUAGCCCACCCGUUUUUUGGCCAUUUUUCCACUGGGGGGUCUUGGGACCCCGACCUUCGGGGGCUGAUUUUUGUACGCGGCUGUGCCCGUGGCCUAUUUUUGGCACACAGAGGCCGCCCGCCAAGUAUGGUGCCAUUCCGAGUCCCGCGGACGAACUUCGCCCACGCCCCCCACCAAGGAUAUAGCCCACCCGUUUUUUGGCCAUUUUUCCGCUGGGGGGUCUUGGGACCCCGACCUUCAGGGGCUGAUUUUUGGGCGCGGCUGUGCCCGUGGCCUAUUUUUGGCACACGGAGGCCGCCCGCCAAGUCAGGGGCCAUUCCGAGUCCCGCGGACGAAGUUCGCCCACGCCCCCCACCAAGGCUAUAGCCAACCCGUUUUUUGGCCAUUUUUCCGCUGGGGGGUCUUGGGACCCCGACCUUCGGGGGCUGAUUUUUGGGCGCGGCUGUGCCCGUGGCCUAUUUUUGGCACACAGAGGCCGCCCGCCAAGUAUGGUGCCAUUCCGAGUCCCGCGGACGAACUUCGCCCACGCCGCCCACCAAGGCUAUAGCCCACCCGUUUUUUGGCCAUUUUUCCGCUGGGGGGUCAUGGGACCCCGACCUUCGGGGGCUGAUUUUUGGGCGCGGCUGUGCCCGUGGCCUAUUUUUGGCACACAGAGGCCGCCCGCCAAGUAUGGUGCCAUUCCGAGUCCCGCGGACGAACUUCGCCCACGCCCCCCACCAAGGCUAUAGCCCACCCGUUUUUUGGCCAUUUUUCCGCUGGGGGGUCUUGGGACCCCGACCUUCGGGGGCUGAUAUUUGGGCGCGGCUGUGCCCGUGGCCCAGUUUUGGCACACGGAGGCCGCCCGCCAAGUCGGGGGCCAUUCCGAGUCCCGCGGAUGAAGUUCGCCCACGCCCCCCACCAAGGCUAUAGCCCACCCGUUUUUUGGCCAUUUUUCCGCUGGGUGGUCUUGGGACCCCGACCUUCGGGGGCUGAUUUUUGGGCGCGGCUGUGCCCGUGGCCUAUUUUUGGCACACAGAGGCCGCCCGCCAAGUAUGGUGCCAUUCCGAGUCCCGCGGACGAACUUCGCCCACGCCGCCCACCAAUUCUAUAGCCCACCCGUUUUUUGGCCAUUUUUCCGCUGGGGGGUCUUGGGACCCCGACCUUCGGGGGCUGAUUUUUGGGCGCGGCUGUGCCCGUGGCCUAUUUUUGGCACACGGAGGCCGCCCGCCAAGUCAGGGGCCAUUCCGAGUCCCGCGGACGAAGUUCGCCCACGCCGUCCACCAAGGCUAUAGCCCACCCGUUUUUUGGCCAUUUUUCCACUGGGGGGUCUUGGGACACCGACUUUCGGGUGCUGAUUUUUGGGCGCGGCUGUGCCCGUGGCCUAUUUUUGGCACACAGAGGCCGCCCACCAAGUAUGGUGCCAUUCCGAGUCCCGCGGACGAACUUCGCCCACGCCCCCCACCAAGGCUAUAGCCCACCCGUUUUUUGGC